rnacentral:rRNA from 1 species
GACGAACGCUGGCGGCGUGCUUAACACAUGCAAGUCGAACGAGAUCCAUGGAGUAGCAAUACUCCGGAAGAUCUAGUGGCGAACGGGUGAGUAACACGUGAGCAACCCUGCCCCAAAGACUGGGAUAACCCCGGGAAACCGGAGCUAAUACCGGAUGUCCUCGUCGGAUCGCAUGGUCUGAUGAGGAAAUGAAUUUCGCUUUGGGAGGGGCUCGCGGGAUAUCAGCUUGUUGGNGGGGUAACGGCCUACCAAGGCUUCGACGUCUAGCUGGUCUGAGAGGACGAUCAGCCACACUGGGACUGAGACACGGCCCAGACUCCUACGGGAGGCAGCAGUGGGGAAUCUUGCCCAAUGGGGGAAACCCUGAGGCAGCAACGCCGCGUGUGGGAUGACGGCCU